UACAGAGGUCUCAAGCGUUGUUCGGAUUCAUUGGGCGUAAAGGGUGCGUAGGUGGUGCUGUAAGUCAGGUGUGAAAUCUCGGGGCUCAACCCCGAAACUGCACUUGAUACUGCGGUGCUUUGAGGACUGGAGAGGAGAUCGGAAUUCAUGGUGUAGCAGUGAAAUGCGUAGAUAUCAUGAGGAAGACCAGUGGCGAAGGCGGAUCUCUGGACAGUUCCUGACAUGAGGCACGAAAGGCCAGGGGAGCAAACGGG
rnacentral:rRNA from 1 species